rnacentral:rRNA from 1 species
AGCAGCCGCGGUAAUUCCAGCUCCUAUAGCGUAUAUUAAAGUUGUUGCAGUUAAAAAGCUCGUAGUUGAAUUUCGAGACCGGUCUACUGGUCGCGCUUUUGUACGUACUGGUUUUAUCGGUUUCUCCUUUCUGACGAACUAUAACGCCAUUAAUUUGGUGUUAUAGGAAAUCAGGACUGUUUCUCUGAAAAAAUUAGAGUGUUUAAAGCAGGCUCACGCUUGAAUACAUUAGCAUGGAAUAACAGAAUAGGACGUUUGAUUCUAUUUUGUUGGUUUCUAGGAUCGACGUAAUGAUUAAUAGGGAUAGUUGGGGGCAUUAGUAUUCAAUUGUCAGAGGUGAAAUUCUUGGAUUUAU